AAAUUUUUAAAUUUUUUUGAACUUAAAUUUGAUCAAUAGAUGACAUAAUAAUUUUUUAAACAUACAUGUAAACAUAAAGUUUAACUAUUGAUUUCUCGUCGAUUUGGUCGUGGACAACCAGAGUCGGUUGAGAUGAGAGCUAACAUCGGGAGGACGCCCGGGUCUAAUAAACACAGGACCGGAGAACGCGAGACGGCCAUAUCGAUUUUAAGGAGAUCUUCUGCUUCCUACCUUCAAUCGCGAGGAAAGAGAGAAAGAGGGGAGAAAAAUAAUUAAACGCAAAAAAAUG
rnacentral:sRNA from 1 species